CGGGUUCAGAGUGGUCGAUUGAAUACAUUUUUAUUUUCAUUUUUAUUCUAUCUAUGAUUUCUACUUAUAUCAGCACACUCGAGAGAGGCGCGUUAUCGCGUGUAUCAUUGCGUCUGAUUAACCUGGCUUGACUGGUACAGUUUAGCAGCACCCGAGGAUACAGACGGACGUAACAAACGAAUUAUUCGAUCAAAUCGAAAAAUUGCAACACUAUUCAAAAGGAAAAAUUAGAAGAUGAAGACAUUACCGGCGAGGCAAUCAGGAUGGAGACUAAUGUAUCGUCUCUCGUACACCUUUGUACCAUUAUUCGUAGGAGUUCACGUAGGUUGGUUCAUGUUGCAAGAACGUUACGUGCCAAUCGAAGAAAGGCACAAUCACCCACUGGUCAAGUUGUAUAAGAAAUAUACUUCUUGAGAACGUUACGGAUCUAAUCCCUUAGUCUUAGUAAAGCUUGACGCUGUUGUUCCUAAUUAUGAUGUUUUGUAUCAUGAAACAAAGGUUUCUUUCUUCUUUGUUCGAUCCGAAUGGACAUUUUACUUGGUCUGUUUGCCGCGCACGUUUAAAAAACGUUACAUACACCGAAUAAGUUGCUUUAUUGCAAGGGACAUACGAGUAUACGAGUUGCAGUUCUAUGUUAUAUAUAUAUAUAUACACAAAAAUUAUAUUACAUGAA